GAGCGCCGCGGGCCGCCCCCCGCCCGCCCCCUCCCCUGCUCCCCUCCCCCGCCUCCCGCGGCGGCUGGCGUCGGGAAAGUACAGUAAAAAGUCCGAGGGCAGCCGCCGGGCGCAGGAUGGGAUCCGGCUCCUCCAGCUACCGGCCCAAGGCCAUCUACCUGGACAUCGAUGGACGCAUUCAGAAGGUAAUCUUCAGCAAGUACUGCAACUCCAGCGACAUCAUGGACCUGUUCUGCAUCGCCACCGGCCUGCCUCGGAACACGACCAUCUCCCUGCUGACCACCGACGACGCCAUGGUCUCCAUCGACCCCACCAUGCCGGCGAAUUCAGAACGCACUCCCUACAAAGUGAGACCUGUGGCCAUCAAGCAACUCUCUGCUGGUGUCGAGGACAAGAGAACCACAAGCCGUGGCCAGUCUGCUGAGAGACCACUGAGGGACAGACGGGUUGUGGGCCUGGAGCAGCCCCGGAGGGAAGGAGCAUUUGAAAGUGGACAGGUAGAGCCCAGGCCCAGAGAGCCCCAGGGCUGCUGCCAGGAAGGCCAGCGCAUCCCUCCAGAGAGAGAAGAAUUAAUCCAGAGCGUGCUGGCGCAGGUUGCAGAGCAGUUCUCAAGAGCAUUCAAAAUCAAUGAACUGAAAGCUGAAGUUGCAAAUCACUUGGCUGUCCUAGAGAAACGCGUGGAAUUGGAAGGACUAAAAGUGGUGGAGAUUGAGAAAUGCAAGAGUGACAUUAAGAAGAUGAGGGAGGAGCUGGCGGCCAGAAGCAGCAGGACCAACUGCCCCUGUAAGUACAGUUUUUUGGAUAACCACAAGAAGUUGACUCCUCGACGCGAUGUUCCCACUUACCCCAAGUACCUGCUCUCUCCAGAGACCAUCGAGGCCCUGCGGAAGCCGACCUUUGACGUCUGGCUUUGGGAGCCCAAUGAGAUGCUGAGCUGCCUGGAGCACAUGUACCACGACCUCGGGCUGGUCAGGGACUUCAGCAUCAACCCUGUCACCCUCAGGAGGUGGCUGUUCUGCGUCCACGACAACUACAGAAACAACCCCUUCCACAACUUCCGGCACUGCUUCUGCGUGGCCCAGAUGAUGUACAGCAUGGUGUGGCUCUGCAGUCUCCAGGAGAACUUCUCACAAAUGGAUAUCCUGAUCCUAAUGACAGCGGCCAUCUGCCACGAUCUGGACCAUCCCGGCUACAACAACACGUACCAGAUCAAUGCCCGCACAGAGCUGGCGGUCCGCUACAAUGACAUCUCACCGCUGGAGAACCACCACUGCGCCGUGGCCUUCCAGAUCCUCGCCGAGCCUGAGUGCAACAUCUUCUCCAACAUCCCACCUGAUGGGUUCAAGCAGAUCCGACAGGGAAUGAUCACAUUAAUCUUGGCCACUGACAUGGCAAGACAUGCAGAAAUUAUGGAUUCUUUCAAAGAGAAAAUGGAGAAUUUUGACUACAGCAACGAGGAGCACAUGACCCUGCUGAAGAUGAUUUUGAUAAAAUGCUGUGAUAUCUCUAACGAGGUCCGUCCAAUGGAAGUCGCAGAGCCUUGGGUGGACUGUUUAUUAGAGGAAUAUUUUAUGCAGAGCGACCGUGAGAAGUCAGAAGGCCUUCCCGUGGCCCCGUUCAUGGACCGAGACAAAGUGACCAAGGCCACAGCCCAGAUUGGGUUCAUCAAGUUUGUCCUGAUCCCAAUGUUUGAAACAGUGACCAAGCUCUUCCCCAUGGUUGAGGAGAUCAUGCUGCAGCCACUUUGGGAAUCCCGAGAUCGCUACGAGGAACUGAAGCGGAUAGAUGAUGCCAUGAAAGAGGGCACCACUGAAGGCCCCGUGGACAGGCACACGUGUACCUUCCAUCAGAAAGCCUGGCUCAGUAAAAUUAGGGAAUGUGAUGAGGGAAACCAAAACUGCAUUCGCCAGGAACACGCCAGGUGUCGGUACCUUCGAGGGAGUUGACUGGCCAUGCCCUUCACAAGAAUCACAACUGUCACCCACACCUGUGGACAGCCAGUUACAGAAGAAGACUGACAGCUUGACGUCUGGGGCCACCGAGAAGUCCAGAGAGAGAAGCAGAGAUGUGAAAAACAGUGAAGGAGACUGUGCCUGAGGAAAGCGGGGGGCGUGGCUGCGGUUCUGGACAGGCUGGCCGAGCUGCGCGGGAUCCUUGUGCAGGGAAGAGCUGCCCUGGGCACCUGGCACCACAAAACCACGUUUUCUAAGAACCAUUUUGUUCACUGAUACAAAAAAAAAAAAAAGGAAUUCAUGAUGCUGUACAGAAUUUUAUUUUUAAACUGUCUUUUAAAUAAUAUAUUCUUAUACGGAAA